rnacentral:rRNA from 1 species
UCAAGCUACUAAGGGCACAUGGUGGAUGCCUUGGUACCGAGAGACGACGAAGGACGUGGUUGGCUGCGAUAAGCUUCGGGGAGCCGCUAAACAGGCUUUGAGCCGGAGAUUUCCGAAUGGGGAAACCCGCCUGGGGUCAUGCCUAGGCAUCCAUGCCUGAAUACAUAGGGCAUGGAGGUGAACGCAGGGAACUGAAACAUCUCAGUACCUGCAGGAAGAGAAAUCAAGAGAGAUUCCCAAAGUAGCGGCGAGCGAAAUGGGAAGAGCCCAAACCGGUUGCGUGUAAGCCCGCAGGCGUUGCGUAAUCGGGGUUGUGGGGGCAGUCCGGAGGGCACUGCGGAUCCUUCAGGGAGUUAUCAAGCAUAUCCAUAGGAGAACGAUCUGGAAAGUUCGGCCAUAGGGGGUGAUAGCCCCGUAUCCGAAAUGGACUAUGCCUCCCUGGGACUGUUUCCCGAGUAGCACGGGGCACGUGGAACCCUGUGUGAAUCCGGAAGGACCAUCUUCCAAGGCUAAAUACUACUCGGUAACCGAUAGUGCACAAGUACCGUGAGGGAAAGGUGAAAAGUACCCCGGCGAGGGGAGUGAAAUAGUACCUGAAACCGUGUGCCUACAUUCUGUGGAAGCCUCAUGUCACAGCUUGCUGUGACGGGGUGACCGCGUGCCUUUUGCAUAAUGAGUCAGCGAGUUACUUUAUGCAGCAAGGUUAAGCCGUUAGGUGUAGCCGUAGCGAAAGCGAGUCUUAAUAGGGCGUUCAGUUGCAUGGAGUAGACCCGAAGCCGGGUGAUCUAUCCAUGGGCAGGGUGAAAGUUCGGUAAAACGGACUGGAGGCCCGAACUGGUGAAGGUUGAAAACUUCUCGGAUGACCUGUGGAUAGGGGUGAAAGGCUAAUCAAACUCGGAGAUAGCUGGUUCUCCCCGAAAUAUAUUUAGGUAUAGCCUCAGACGAUGAAUGCCGGGGGUAGGGCUCUGAAUGGGCUAGGGGUCCUCGCGGAUUACCAACCCCAAUCAAACUUCGAAUACCGGUUAUUUUAGUCUGGGAGUCAGCCUAUGGGAGAUAAGUUCCAUAGACGAAAGGGAAAGAACCCAGACCGCCAGCUAAGGUCCCCAAUAGAUGCUAAGUGGUAAAGGUGGUGGGAUUGCACAAACAACCAGGAUGUUGGCUUAGAAGCAGCCAUCAUUUAAAGAAAGCGUAAUAGCUCACUGGUCGAGUGAUUCUGCGCCGAAAAUGUAACGGGGCUCAAGCAUCUAACCGAAGCUGCGGAUCUAGGCUUCAUGCCUAUGAUGGUAGGGGAGCGUACCAGUUGCCUGCGAAGCCGUACCGUAAGGAGCGGUGGAGGCCCUGGUAGUGCUUAUGCUGACAUGAGUAACAAUAAUACAGGUGAGAAUCCUGUACGCCGUAAACCCAAGGUUUCCUGCGCAAGGAUGUUCCGCGCAGGGUUAGUCGGAGCCUAAGCUGAGGCCGAAAGGCGUAGGUGAUGGUAAACAGGUUAAUAUUCCUGUACCACUGACGUAGCGUUACCAGCAAUGGGGGGACGCAGGAAGGUAUGCCGAGCCGGGCGUUGGUUGUCCCGGUUCAAGCCUGUAGGGAGAGUCUCCAGGCAAAUCCGGAGGCUCGUUAAUCCUGAGAGGUGAUGACGAGUUCAAUUGCGAGCGAAGCGGCAAAUCCUACACUGACAAGAAAAGCCUCUAGCGAGUUACGUUGGUGUCCGUACUGUAAACCGACACAGGUGGGUGGGGUGAGAAACCUAAGGCGUUGAGUGAAACCUCGUUAAGGAACUCGGCAACUUGACACCGUAACUUCGGGAGAAGGUGUGCCCUCGCUAGGUGUAAGAAUUCACUUCUGAAGCCGAGGAGGGUGGCACAAAAAUGGCCGGGGCGACUGUUUACUAAAAACAUAGGACUCUGCUAAAUCGCAAGAUGAUGUAUAGGGUCUGAUGCCUGCCCGGUGCCGGAAGGUUAAGGGGAUCUGUUAUUCGCAAGGAGAAGCAGUGAACCGAAGCCCCGGUAAACGGCGGCCGUAACUAUAACGGUCCUAAGGUAGCGAAAUUCCUUGUCGGGUAAGUUCCGACCUGCACGAAUGGCGUAACGAU